GGGUGAGCCCUUUUCCCGUGAACGCAGGGCCUCAGCCUUCCCCUGCUGGGCAGUGGGUCCCCCACUUUAACCGAGGUGAGGCCCUGCCCAACCCCUCCCUGGCAAGCUUGUUGGUCUUAUGCCAAUGAUGUAGGAGAACAGACUCAUUAGGGAGCAGGAGGGGAGACCCAUGCCCCAAGCCCUCGGGGAGAGGAGAUAAGCCAUGCCAGGCUAACACUAACACCCCAUGCUACUUUCUGCCCACCUCUCACAACUACUCUUUGCUUGGGCCCUCUUUUCCAACACCUGCAGCUACCAGCCUUUCCAUUGCUGGAUCAAGCCUCUCCCAUCUCAUCAGGGGCAUAGCUGGCGGUGUGAUGUGAGGCCCUGGACUCAGAGAAGGUGGUGCUGCAUGGACCUCCUUAGAGGUCAUGUAGUCCAGACCCUUCCUUAUACUACUGUAGAACCUGAAACUGAGAGGGAGGGGACUUGCCCUAAGACCAUUUGGGGAAUUAGUGGCUAAGCCUUGAGUAGGACUCAGUUUAAUCUUCUAGAUGCCAAUUCCCCAAUUCAAGAUAGAGUAACCCCUCCGGGCAGAGGAAAUAUGGAGAGGGGAUUUAAUCGCCAAUCCUACUCUCUCCUUCCCCUCUCCCAACAAAAUGAAAUCAAACCCUUGGACUGAAUGAACAUGUUGCAAGAAUUUUCAACUUCCUUGCUAGCCACUGCAUGAAUAAGCCGGCACAGCUUACGGACAGGUGUACAGAAACCAUGGGAAGGAAGGGGGAGGGGCCAGACGUGACGUGGGUCUAAAGCCUUCCUCUCCCACUCCUUUGACACGGGGACCAACUGAUGCCUAAAAGCUGGCCUUCCCCUUCCCAGCACAGGACUCUUGCCCUGGCCCUGCUAGCCAGGUCACACCUUUGACCUCUCACCUGAAGGGCUGGCCCUGCUGCCACUUGCUGGAGGGCCACUGGGCCCUCUGUGCAGUCUGGGCACAGGGUGGGCAACCAGCUCCCCGUCACCGGGCAUGGCGGCUCCUUGUCGGAAGCGAAAAGCCAACUUUUCUAAUGAUGAGACAGAAACACUGGUGUGGAACGUGGUUCGGCAUUUUGGGGCCCUGUAUGGGGCUGAGGCCCUGCGCACCCAUUCUGCCCGCCGAAACCAGCUCUGGGGCCAGAUCCAGAGCCGAGUGAACUUCCUGGGUUACACUGAGCGCUCCGUGGAAGACUUGAAACACAAGUGGCGAGAUCUGCGGCUGGACGUCAAGCGGAAGCUCACCUCCAGGAAGGGCCCCCCUGGCAGCUGUGGCCCCCAGAAGGCCCGCCUCACCCCCUUGGAGAAGAUGGUGGCCUCCACCUUUACCCAGGCUAGCCCAGAGCAGAACCCGAGGCAUUCUUUGACCCUGAGCCUGACCUUGAGCCACCCAUGUCUCCAGCCCUGCGAAAUGGCGUGAUGGUCUCCUAUGCUUCCGUGGAUGAGGAAGAUGAAGACACCCAGGCAGUAGCUGGCCACAUCAAGGAAGGAGAAGAAGAGGAGGAAGAGAGACGUGGGAUGCUCCUGCUUCGACACUGCAGCUCGAGGACCUCCCUCACCUCCCUUCCUGAGGACGGAGGUGAAGCCCCUCCUGACUGGGCUGCCCCUGCCGUGGUCAGCGACCUCAGCCAGGUUCUCAGCCCCUCCCAGCUGCCCCCACCUUCACUUGAAGAUGAGGAGAGAGGAGAGAGUGGUAGAGGCAGACCUCGGGGGGCUGAAUUGGGAGAAGCUGGAGGAUGCAGCCCCUCAUUCUCCACUGUUCCGGGAAGAGUCUCUUCGUUUCUCAGCCUCACCAAGUGGAGAGCCCCUCCGGGGGGGUAUGAGCUGCUCCCGGAGCGCUCGGGAGGCCUGGCGGACUAACCUGCAUCGACUCUUGGACCUGGAAGAACAGUGGGACCAGCUGUACCACCAGGAGCUGGGUGUAUGGCAGGAAGAGAGAGCCCAGCAACGAGAGGAGCGGGCUCGAGAUCGUGAGCUCCAGUCCCGUCUCCUCAGUGUCCUCACAGAUAUUCGGGAUGAACUUCGCUACUUGCGCCAAGAGAGAGCCUUUGCCCGACGGAGCCAAGCCGUGGCGGCAUCUGCCACUGCCAACACAGCCCAGAGCCUCUCCCCACCCCCAGCCUUCCCCACCUUAGGGACCCCCCUCUCAGGGACUUCGCCACACUCUGGCUCCUCCUUCCUCCAGCCUGGCUUGGGACUUGGCUUGUCAGGCCCUUCACUUGCCAGCACAGGCCAGGGGGAGUCAGUAGGCCUGAACCACAGUGGAAGGCCACCACGUCGAGGCCGAGGAAGACCCAGGGGCUCCACAUCAAAACACAAAAGGCUCUCCUUAGCUCAUAGCUAGGGGGAAGAAGGGAAGUAGGGUGGGGGGCAUGGACAGAAGGACUUUUAAAAAAAUUUAAAACAAAAUGAUGUUAAUAAAAAAACCCCCAACAACAUGAUACUUGUAAGACAUACCAGUGUAUGCAGGUAGGUGGUCAUGGUGAUGGAGGGGGCACAGAAGAGGGGAAUGCUUCUGGCCAGUUGGCACUCACACUGUGCCUAGUGAGGGCAGGUGAUCUGGAAUGGAGAGAUGCAGACUGGCUACUCUUCUGUCUCUGCGCCACUUGGGGAGAAUGGACAACAGUGCCACUCCGUAUACAGAUUUUCCCUACAAACCAGCCUGAAGAAUGUACAGCUGUGUCUGAAAGUUCACCAAGGCAUUAAUUAGUACAGACAGACUUGGCAGGAACAUUAGAGUUGGUCCAGUCCAGCCUGGCCCAUGUUUUUUGAUGAGUUCUUCUUUGGCUGGGCACCCACAGCCUCACAAUGAGCAGCCAGCUCUUCCAUCUUUGGACAGCUCUCAGACUGACCUGAAAUCUGCUUCCCACAGUCACUAUUGGGUAUUCCUUUAGAGUGACAUCCACCUUCCAGUCCCUCUUCCACAUGACAACCCCCUCCCCAGGCCUCCACUUCUUCAUUUCCAGAAUCCAUUCCUUCCAUUGCAUUUAGUGCAGUCCAUACCACAGUAUUCUACCUGUCCUGGCAUAUUUGAGUGCUAUACUUGGCUAUUAUAGGCCCCCAGACCCUGACUGGUGAUGACAAUUCCUGGAAACCUCUAGCAAAAGUGGAGGGAAGGUACUUGGGAGAGAAUGGGGCAGCAGAAUCCUGAAAGAAGCAAUUCUGAAAAUGGAUCUUACCCAGAUGAGGAGCUUGCCAUCUGAGUGGGGAGAUGAUCAGGACCACACAGGCUACCCUUGAUAUGAUACCACAGGAUUUUAAGAAGUGAGAGAUGAAUGGACUGAAAAAUCUUCAUGGAUGAGGAGUGUGCUAGAGCCAGCCAAACUAUCUUCCAAGAGCUGAGUUUUGAAUUUUCACUCCUCCUAAAGAGAAUGACCCAUUGCAGUUGGCCAAUGAAAGAUGGAACAGAAGAGAGGCUCUGCUAUUUUCUGGAUUCUUCUCAUGACUGAGAUUGGAAGAGGGUGAGAUAUGGAGACCAGGAAGAGUGUGAAACAUGGAGACCACCAGCAGAAUGUACCUAUCAGCCUAUAAAGAGCUGAAUAUUUCAUCAUCUUGGGAGCUUAAGCCUUCACAUCUAUUGUGGGGCAUAUGUGAGAGAUGACAAGGUGUGAGUAGUUGGUAUAUAUAGGGAUUCACUCAACAGGAAGAUAAGCAUCCCAUUCUGGCCAGGAUAUGUAUUUAUACUUAAAGGUUUUUAGAACAGAGAUACAACCUCUUCCUUUCUAGACCAUCUGGUACCUUGUCCUGUACUAGAGGUAAGGAUUUUUCUGAAUUCUAAUGAUAAGCCCCUUCAUUUUAUAACAGCCCAUACAGAUACCUUGUAUUUUGUUUCCCUAAUUUCUCAUUUUCUGAGCCUCUCUGACCCAUUUUCUUUUUUCAUUCUUCUCCAAUAGGGGACAGAAUUGACUCUUUGUUGACCAUCAGCAAGUUGAAUAUCAUGUCUGAGGGAAUGUCUGCCCACAAUCCUCCUUCCCAAAUGACACAGCUUUGAGUCUAAUAAAGUCUUAGCCAGCUCUGGAAAGAGAUUGUGAUUUGCGAUGUGAAAAUUUUUUUUUUAUCAGAUGACUAGAAAGAAAUAAUCAGCUAUCUAUCAUGUCAAGCCAAAACUACUCUCAUGGAUAAUGCUUUCCAUGACACUUAUUCUACAAAAUGAACACUCAUUUGGCCUUCAAAAGCUGGCAUUAUUCUAGGUUCAGCUCUCAGUUCAACUAUCUAAGAAUUAAGCUCUAUGAGCCUCAGUUUUCCUAUUUCUUAAAUGGGCAUUAUCCUACUAAUACUACCUAUUUUAUAGGGGGUGCAUUAAGUGAUUUGUAAUACUGAAUAACUGUAUGAAUGGGAUACAAAGUGAUUCUAAGAGGCAGCUAGGUGGCACAAUGGAUAAAGCACUGGGCCUGGAGUGAGAAAGACCUGAGUUCAAAAUGAUUAUAAUUUAAUUGCAUUCAAUGCAACUAAAAUGAAUUUGGGCUUUCAUCAAGAUGUAUGAUUAUACUUUUAUAUUGAACUAAAAAUUGGAAAUGAAGCAUGAUUUAUAAAGAAAAAGACUACAAAUGGGAUGGAGCAGAGGCUUGACAAUCUAGCUCUAACAUGGGCACAGGUGGGAGUAAAGUUCAGAAGCUGUCCCAAAGAAGGAAAAAUAACCAACCCUAAUACUGUUUUCUAUCCAAAGACAUUUUCUGUGUAGACAUUCUUUCUCUCUGAAAGAGAUAAUCAGCCAUCUAUCAUGCUGAAGCAAACCACCUUCCUGGAUGAUGCUUUUCCUGACUCCUUCUACAAAAUGAAUGCUCAUUUGGCCUUCAAAAACUUUGGCCAAGUCUCAGUUGAACUACCUGGACUUCUUAACAAAAGAGAAGUCCAUACCAGUGAAAUUCAUCUUUCUUAAGUUUAAAGACUGACAGAAAUAAAAACUUUAAAGGACUGAC